rnacentral:rRNA from 1 species
AACGUAGGAGACAAACGUUAUCCGGAGUUACUGGGCGUAAAGGGCGUGUAGGUGGUUUCGUAAGUCUGGCGUGAAAUUUUUCGGCUUAACCGGGAAAGGUCGUCGGAUACUGCGGAGCUAGAGGACGGUAGAGGCGUGUGGAAUUCCCGGUGUAGCGGUGAAAUGCGCAGAUAUCGGGAGGAACACCAGUAGCGAAGGCGACACUCUGGGCCGGUACUGACGCUGAGGAGCGAAAGCGUGGGGAGCAAACAGG